rnacentral:rRNA from 1 species
GCAUAUCAAUAAAGCGGAGGAAAAGAAAACCAACAGGGAUUGCUUCAGUAACGGCGAAGUGAAGCGGCAACAGCUCCAAAUUUGAAAUCUGGCCCCUUUUCAGGGCCCGAGUUGUAAUUUGGAGAAGAGGCUUCGGGGUGCGGCCCCGGUCUAAGUUCCUUGGAACAGGACGUCACAGAGGGUGAGAGUCCCGUACGUGCCCCGGUGGUCGCCCCCGUGUGAAGCUCUUUCGACGAGUCGAGUUGUUUGGGAAUGCAGCUCAAAAUGGGUGGUAAAUUUCAUCUAAAGCUAAAUAUUGGCCAGAGACCGAUAGCGCACAAGUAGAGUGAUCGAAAGAUGAAAAGCACUUUGGAAAGAGAGUUAAACAGUACGUGAAAUUGUUGAAAGGGAAGCGCUUGCAACCAGACUUGCGCGCGGCCGAUCAUCCGGUGUUCGCACCGGUGCACUCGACCGCGCGCAGGCCAGCAUCGGUUUGGGUGGCUGGAGAAAGGCCACGGGAAUGUGGCUCCCCUCGGGGAGUGUUAUAGCCCGCGGCGCAAUGCAGCCCACCCGGACCGAGGACCGCGCUUCGGCUAGGAUGCUGGCGUAAUGGUUGUAAGCGACCCGUCUUGAAACACGGACCAAGGAGUCUAACAUCUAUGCGAGUGUUUGGGUGUCAAACCCAUACGCGGAAUGAAAGUGAACGGAGGUGAGAACCCUUAAGGGUGCAUCAUCGACCGAUCCUGAUGUCUUCGGAUGGAUUUGAGUAAGAGCAUAGCUGUUGGGACCCGAAAGAUGGUGAACUAUGCCUGAAUAGGGUGAAAGCCAGAGGAAACUCUGGUGGAGGCUCGCAGCGGUUCUGACGUGCAAAUCGAUCGUCAAAUUUGGGCAUAGGGGGCGAAAGACUAAUCGAACCAUCUAGUAGCUGGUUCCUGCCGA